rnacentral:misc_RNA from 1 species
UUUUAAUUUUUUGAUCGAUUCACACCAGUCACCUCUAGUCUUGAAAAAUUACUUGUAAGAAAGCAUGAUUUAAAAAUGCACAGUUCAUUUCAAUAGCUGAAUAAAUGUUGAUAUCUUUAAUAAUUUAUAAAAAAAAAAUGUGCUUGUAAUAUAUAUUUGGAGAGUUUGACCUGUACAUGUGCACAAUGACAAAGUCAUCAUUUGAACAAGCCAACCAGUCAUGAUGCCGAAGUUGGUGCUUCUCAAAUUUUGAAUGUAGUACCUUGUUUUAUAUAUAUAUCUUAUGUAUAUCUGUAAAUUUCUGACUCUGUAUGUAUAUCUGGUUAAUUUCUCUCUUGACUAUUGUGUACUUUAUAAAUCCAAUUUUCUUUCUUACCCCUCUUCCUAAGAAUGUUUUAUUAAUAUCUAGCUGUGAAGUGCAAUACAUGAAAGGCGAACAUUUUUCUAAAAAAUAGCUGCCAUGUAUGAGAAUGCAGAGUAUUAUUACUGAGUAUAUAUAGAAGAAAACUGUAAGGUUUGAGAUGUUGAGGAAGUGGAGUUUGUGAUAUCUAGUUAUUAUGUUACAGACUGAGAUGUUCCUGUCACAUGGCUGUCCUGGAUAGCCUCGUUUUCAUCUGCUUAGUAAGGGCAGGUCAGUCAAUGAUACUUGUUGUGGAAUCUGUCGGAUUUAAAAAAAAACAUGAAAAUUAAAAACUACAAUG